CAUAACACAGAUGCCUGAUAUGUUCAAAUUCCAUUGCAGCAGUCUGUUCUUGGUAGGAAGUCUAUCCUGCAGUAACAACCACAAGCUGAAGAUAGCAUUAGGUCUAGCAGCAUUUUGCAUUACCAGAUUCUUCCAUGACACUCUAGUUGAUUCUCCAAGCAGUUGCAGGUAUACCUUCCUUAUGGUGCAGCCAGUGUUAUCUAGCAAUUGAUGCUGAUGUAGUAACUUAGCUCCCUCCACAAUUUUCCUUACCAUCCAGCUAGCAUUAGCUGGGAUAGUAAGGUUCUCCAACUGGUGAUGUUUGAUAUAAACAGUAUGGAUCCAUN
rnacentral:lncRNA from 1 species